UCGAUUGAGUUUGAUCAUGGCUCAGGACGAACGCUGGCGGCGUGCUUAACACAUGCAAGUCGAGCGGAAAGGCUCCCUUCGGGGAGUACUCGAGCGGCGAACGGGUGAGUAACACGUGGGUAACCAACCCCUGACACCGGGAUACCCCGUCGAAAGACGGCUCAAUACCGGAUAAGGUGCGGAGACGCAGGUCGCCGUACCAAAGGUAGCUUCGGCUUCCGGUCAGGGACGGGCCCGCGGCCCAUUAGCUUGUUGGUGGGGUAACGGCCUACCAAGGCGACGAUGGGUAGCUGGUCUGAGAGGACGAUCAGCCACACUGGGACUGAGACACGGCCCAGACUCCUGCGGGAGGCAGCAGUGGGGAAUCUUGCGCAAUGGGCGGAAGCCUGACGCAGCAACGCCGCGUGCGGGAAGAAGGCCUUCGGGUCGUAAACCGCUUUCAGCAGGGACGAAGCUUCCGGGGUUAAUAGCCUACGGGGUGACGGUACCUGCAGAAGAAGGUCCGGCUAACUACGUGCCAGCAGCCGCGGUAAUACGUAGGGACCGAGCGUUGUCUGGAAUUAUUGGGCGUAAAGAGCGUGUAGGCGGCUUGGAAGGUCUCGUGUCAAAUCCUGCGGCUCAACCGCAGACCAGCACGGGAAACCACCUCGCUAGAGUCCGGAAGAGGAGAGCGGAAUUCCUGGUGUAGCGGUGAAAUGCGCAGAUAUCAGGAAGAACACCCGUGGCGAAG
rnacentral:rRNA from 1 species